rnacentral:tRNA from 1 species
UUUCUCUCUAGCUUAUUAUAUAGAGUGUUAGUUUGAAGAGCUGAAGGUACAGUUGUGUGGGAGGAAG